rnacentral:lncRNA from 1 species
UUAUUUAGUCAUAGAAUUGAGUGUGAAAUAUAAUCACUUUUACAUGAAAUUUUUUUCAAACACGUCAAUAUACUUUAUUGCACGUGCCAAUAUACUUUAUUGCACGUGCCAUUUAUAUGUGCUAAACCAAUUUAUACCUAUUAAAAAUUCCAAAAUCAAUUAAAAAAUCAAGUAAAAACCCAUGUUUGGACCAAAUCGGAUCUUGAUCAAUCCAAAUCAGCCCAAACCUAAAUCUAUCUUCUCCCUUCUCCCCGAUUGUGCACAGCCCUUCCCUCUAUUUUUUUUUUUUUUGAUCCCUCUAUUUUUUUUUUUUUUUUUAUCACUAGCUUGUGUCUAGCCAGCGCUGACUUCUCUCUCUCCCCACUUUCUACCCCUCCCACUCCACUUUUUGAUUGAUCCAAACCUGUCGCCAUUGCCUCUUCACCAUUCUCUCCCUCUCCACUUUCAACCUAUGUAGUGCAGCAGUGGGGGAGGUGCUGAGCUGCAAAAAAUUGAUUUUAGGAAUUUUAAAAAUUCAAAAUCAAAAUUUCAGAAAUUUUAUCGUAAAGAAAUUAAGGAGGAGAAGAAAAGAAAAUUGAAAAGAAGAGGAAUAGAGAGAGAAAAAUAAAGAGAGAAAAUUGAAAAGGAGAGGAGUAGAGAGAGAGGAAAACGAAGGACAUAAUAG